UAGCUCAAUAGUCAGAGCACUGGCUUUGCAAGCCAGGGGCAGCAAGUUUGAACUUUGC
rnacentral:tRNA from 1 species